UACGUAGGGUGCGAGCGUUAAUCGGAAUUACUGGGCGUAAAGUGUGCGCAGGCGGCCGCGCAAGUCGAGUGUGAAAGCCCCGAGCUUAACUUGGGAAUUGCGCUCGAAACUACGUGGCUGGAGUGUGGCAGAGGAAGGUGGAAUUCCAGGUGUAGCGGUGAAAUGCGUAGAGAUCUGGAGGAACACCGAUGGCGAAGGCAGCCUUCUGGGCCAACACUG
rnacentral:rRNA from 1 species